ensembl:snoRNA
AUCCUUUUGAGGUUGAUAAGUGUGAUGAUUGGGUUUCUAUGCACAUGUGUAACAUGUUAUCACAUCUGUACAGCACCCAUAGGAUG